AUUGAACGCUGGCGGCAGGCCUAACACAUGCAAGUCGAGCGGAUGAAAGGAGCUUGCUCCUGGAUUCAGCGGCGGACGGGUGAGUAAUGCCUAGGAAUCUGCCUGGUAGUGGGGGAUAACGUUCCGAAAGGAACGCUAAUACCGCAUACGUCCUACGGGAGAAAGCAGGGGACCUUCGGGCCUUGCGCUAUCAGAUGAGCCUAGGUCGGAUUAGCUAGUUGGUGGGGUAAUGGCUCACCAAGGCUACGAUCCGUAACUGGUCUGAGAGGAUGAUCAGUCACACUGGAACUGAGACACGGUCCAGACUCCUACGGGAGGCAGCAGUGGGAAAUAUUGGACAAUGGGCGAAAGCCUGAUCCAGCCAUGCCGCGUGUGUGAAGAAGGUCUUCGGAUUGUAAAGCACUUUAAGUUGGGAGGAAGGGCAGUAAGUUAAUACCUUGCUGUUUUGACGUUACCGACAGAAUAAGCACCGGCUAACUUCGUGCCAGCCGCCGCGGUAAAAC
rnacentral:rRNA from 1 species